UACAGAGGGUGCGAGCGUUGUCCGGAAUCACUGGGCGUAAAGGGCGCGUAGGUGGCGACCCAAGUCGAUGGUGAAAGCUCGCCGCUUAACGGCGAGUCGGCCACCGAUACUGGGUUGCUUGAGCACUGUAGAGGCUAAUGGAAUUCCGGGUGUAGCGGUGGAAUGCGUAGAGAUCCGGAAGAACACCGGUGGCGAAGGCGGAUCUCUGGGCCUUACCUGACGCUGAGGCGCGAAAGCUAGGGGAGCGAACAGG
rnacentral:rRNA from 1 species